AUGCACUUCUGAAAGACCUGGAGCAGUUAAUGUCUGCUGCUAAGGUUUCCACUACAGGUGCAAGAAAAAAAUGUCCUGUGCUUUCUGUCUGUCUCUUAGUGGCAUUCAAGAUUGAAUAGGCUAUAAUCCA
rnacentral:snoRNA from 1 species